UACGUAGGGUGCGAGCGUUAAUCGGAAUUACUGGGCGUAAAGCGUGCGCAGGUGGUCAUGUAAGACAGAUGUGAAAUCCCCGGGCUUAACCUGGGAAUUGCAUUUGUGACUGCAUGGCUAGAGUGUGGCAGAGGGGGAUGGAAUUCCGCGUGUAGCAGUGAAAUGCGUAGAUAUUGGGAGGAACACCGGUGGCGAAGGCGGCCCCCUGGACCGGUACUGACGCUGAGGCGCGAAAGCGUGGGUAGCAAACGGG
rnacentral:rRNA from 1 species